AACCACAGGAAAAACCUGGGAAUGCAACUUGGAGUCAUGCUUAUUCUAUAUCCUUAGGAAAUUGAGGUUGUACAAGAAAAGAAAACUAUUUUUCUUUAUCUUUUGGUAACUUUGCUUUGACACCUCUUUCCCUAGAAAUUUUCCCACAGAAAUUCUAGGACUGACUUUCAUUUGUAUAACUUGGAUGCAUUCCCGUCUCUGAACUGAUUAUUAUAAAUUACUGUUAGAUUUUUCUUACCCAUCUCUGAAUCUUAGGGGAGGGGUUAGCUGUUACUCAUAUGAACUGGAAAUAAGGGAAGAAAAUUGGGGUGGU
rnacentral:lncRNA from 1 species